UACGGGGGGAGCAAGCGUUGUUCGGAUUUACUGGGCGUAAAGGGCGCGUAGGCGGUCGUGACAAGUCACUUGUGAAAUCUCCGGGCUUAACUCGGAACGGUCAAGUGAUACUGUCGGACUAGAGUACAGAAGGGGCAAUCUGGAAUUCUCGGGUGUAGCGGUGAAAUGCGUAGAUAUCGAGAGGAACACCUGCGGCGAAGGCGGGUUGCUGGGCUGAUACUGACGCUGAGGCGCGAAAGCCGGGGAGCGAACGGG
rnacentral:rRNA from 1 species